rnacentral:rRNA from 1 species
UUUGAUCCCUGGCUCAGAUUGAACGCUGGGCCGGCAGUGCCUUACACAUGCAAGUCGAACGGUAACGGGCCUUCGGGUGCCGACGAGUGGCGAACGGGUGAGUAAUGCAUCGGAACGUACCUUCAGUGGGGGAUAACGUAGCGAAAGUUACGCUAAUACCGCAUAUUCUGUGAGCAGGAAAGCAGGGGAUCGCAAGACCUUGCGCUGAUUGAGCGGCCGAUGUCAGAUUAGCUAGUUGGUGAGGUAAAGGCUCACCAAGGCGACGAUCUGUAGCGGGGUCUGAGAGGAUGAUCCGCCACACUGGAACUGAGACACGGUCCAGACUCCUACGGGAGGCAGCAGUGGGGAAUUUUGGACAAUGGGGGCAACCCUGAUCCAGCCAUGCCGCGUGAGUGAAGAAGGCCUUCGGGUUGUAAAGCUCUUUCGGCCGGGAAGAAAUCGCAUGGGUUAAUACCCUGUGCGGAUGACGGUACCGGCAUAAGAAGCACCGGCUAACUACGUG